CACUAAGCCACGGGGCCGGCCCCCUCAGUGUUCUUAAAUUGUUUGUACAAUGUGGUUUAUGCUGAACACUUGCUUUUCUCCGACUCUGGAAUUUUAUGUGUUAGGCACAGGGUGCCUAUGUGACU